UACACACCGCCCGUCACGCCACGAAAGUUUAUUGUACCAGAAACGGUGAGCUAACCCGCAAGGGAGGCAGCUGGCUACGGUAUGGUAGAUCGAUUCGGGGCGA
rnacentral:rRNA from 1 species